CAAUAGCAUAUACUAAAGUUGUUGCGGUUAAAAAGCUCGUAGUUGGACUUCGGCCAGAUCUGACCGGUCCGUCCUCUUGGAACGGUACCUGGGAAUAGGUGUGGCGUAUCUUAGUGUGCGCGACGGUAACUUGAUUGUGCCUCGUGGAUGCUGGGUCAUUUACUUUGAGGAAAUUAGAGUGUUUCAAGCAGGCAUCUGCCUUGAAUAUAUUAGCAUGGAAUAAUAACAUAGGACUUCGGUCCUGUUUUGUUGGUUUCAGGGACUGGAGUAAUGAUUAAUAGGGACAGUCGGGGGCAUUCGUACUUAACUGUCAGAGGUGGAAUUCUUGGAUUUGUUAAAGACGAACUAGUGCGAAAGCAUUUGCCAAGGAUGUUUUCAUUGA
rnacentral:rRNA from 1 species